CAUGCAGCAAAGUUUCAUGGUUUCUUAUCAGACUAUGAACGGCAAACGGGUGAAAUAGGGAAGCCGGUGUAAAUCCGGCACGGUCCCGCCACUGUAAAUCAGGAUGAAUUCCUGUAAGUCAGGUUACCUGCCCUGGACGUAUAAACCGG
rnacentral:ncRNA from 2 species